UACAAUGGCGUAAACAAAGGGAAGCUAGCCGGUGACGGUGCGCGAAUCCCAAAAAUAACGUCUCAGUUCGGAUUGUAGUCUGCAACUCGACUACAUGAAGCUGGAAUCGCUAGUAAUCGCGGAUCAGAAUGCCGCGGUGAAUACGUUCCCGGGUCUUGUACACACCGCCCGUCACACCAUGGGAGUCGGAAAUGCCCGAAGUCUGUGACCGAACCGAAAGGGGACGCGGCCGAAGGUGGGUUCGAUAAUUGGGGUGAAGUCGUAACAAGGUAAC
rnacentral:rRNA from 1 species